rnacentral:snoRNA from 1 species
UAUCUAUGAUGAGGAUAAUCUCUGAGAUAGUCCUUGAAUCGCAACCAAACUUCAUGAAAACGCUCUGUUUCAUCCUGCUGGAAUGUGGUGAUCUUGUUCCAGAGCGA